GCCCCGCGGCCGUGAAGAAUCCUGGGGCGGAGCGCGGGCCUGAAAGUGUCUAGCGGUAGUUCUCAGGCUGCUUGCGGUUGAGACCGCAGGAAUAGCGGGAGCGCAGCGUUGCAUUGAGUUGUCUUUGGGAUCCUCUCUGAGGAAGAGCGGCAUCCCUGGCUCCUGAAGCGCAGGACCCAGGAGGUCAGGAAACAGCGCAAGGGUCUUAGGAGAGACAUCCCAGGGACAGAGGUGGGAGCUUCUACCCCCAACUCAUU